ACGGGAGGCAGCAGUGGGGAAUAUUGGGCAAUGGGCGCAAGCCUGACCCAGCGACGCCGCGUGAGUGAAGAAGUAUUUCGGUAUGUAAAGCUCUAUCAGCAGGGAAGAUAAUGACGGUACCUGACUAAGAAGCCCCGGCUAACUACGUGCCAGCAGCCGCGGUAAUACGUAGGGGGCAAGCGUUAUCCGGAUUUACUGGGUGUAAAGGGAGCGUAGGCGGCGCUGCAAGUCAGAUGUGAAACCCCGGGGCUUAACUCCGGGACUGCAUUUGAAACUGCGGUGCUAGAGUGCAGGAGAGGUAAGUGGAAUUCCUAGUGUAGCGGUGAAAUGCGUAGAUAUUAGGAGGAACACCAGUGGCGAAGGCGGCUUACUGGACUGUAACUGACGUUGAGGCUCGAAGGCGUGGGGAGCAAACAGGAUUAGAUACCCUGGUA
rnacentral:rRNA from 1 species